rnacentral:rRNA from 1 species
CCUAGUACGAGAGGACCGGAGUGGACGAACCAAUGGUGUACCAGUCAUACCGCCAGGUGUGCAGCUGGGUAGCUACGUUCGGGACGGAUAAACGCUGAAAGCAUCUAAGCGUGAAACCAGCCUAAAGAUGAGGUUUCUCAUUGAAAAAGUAAGGUCCCACAAAGACGAUGUGGUAGAUAGGCCGGGAGUGGAAGUACAGUAAUGUAUGGAGCGGACCGGUACUAAUAGACCGAGGACUUGACUUAAUAAC